rnacentral:snoRNA from 1 species
AGCCAAUGAUGAGCUACUUUAAUUUCUGACACCUCGUAUGA